rnacentral:rRNA from 1 species
GACGAACGCUGGCGGCGUGCCUAAUACAUGCAAGUAGAACGCUGAAGGAGGAGCUUGCUCUUCUGGAUGAGUUACGAACGGGUGAGUAACGCGUAGGUAACCUGCCUGGUAGCGGGGGAUAACUAUUGGAAACGAUAGCUAAUACCGCAUAAGAGUAGAUGUUGCAUGACAUUUACUUAAAAGUUGCAAUUGCAUCACUACCAGAUGGACCUGCGUUGUAUUAGCUAGUUGGUGGGGUAACGGCUUACCAAGGCGACGAUACAUGGCCGACCUGAGAGGGGGGUCGACCACACUGGGAAUGAGACACGGCCCAGACUCCUACGGGAAGGAGCAGUAGGGAAUCAUCGGUAAUGGACGGAAGUCUGACCGAGCAACGCCGCGUGAGUGAAGAAGGUUUUCGGAUCGGAAAGCUCUGUUGUAAGAGAAGAACGAGUGUGAGAGUGGAAAGUUCACACUGUGACGGUAUCUUACCAGAAAGGGACGGCUAACUACGUG